rnacentral:lncRNA from 1 species
CUCCUGCUGCCUUGUGAAGAAGGUGCCUGCUUCCCCUUCCGCCAUGACUGUAGGUUUCCUGAGGCUUCCCCAGCCAGGUGGAACUGCAAGCUCAUCAAACUGGCCCAAGGAUCUUGGAUGCAUCGCCCUUGGCAGAUUGUGUUUCUUCUUUGAAAUUCUCCUUUGAAGUGGCCCUCAUUGCCAACCACCAAGCCUGCAAUGGGGAGACUUCCCCCAGUACUCCUACCGAUGCCUCCCACCCUGCCUACUACCUUGGACACAUGACUUCAUGAUAUGGAAAGAAGAAUCUCUUCUGGAAAAGAGUGCAAUAAAGAAAUCCAAGGACCUGCACUCAAAGCAAAUGUUCUCCGUGGGUGAUUAGUAUAAACCCUCAUUCAGCAUAAGUUGGUUAUUAGAUUUGCCAGUCUCUAACAUGACCUAACGGGAAAAAUCACCAAGUACUGAAAUGUUCUGAUGGAAGGGUAUUAGAAAAAACCACUCAAGCAAUAUUUAUUUAUUUAUGUUUUCAGUUGGGCCAAUUCAGAAAAACAAAAAUUUGCAGGCCACAUAUUUUGUCCAAGAUGAAAAUAGCUUUAUUAUUUUUUCCUGAUUAUAAAAAUAAUACUCAUUUAUUAUUACAAAACUUGAAAGUUAUUUGUAUGAAAAGAAGUAAAUAUAGCUUGAAAUCUGAAAGUUCAUAGUGGGCCACAGUUUAAAAGGCAAUUCAAGUAGUUUCUUUUUUAUUUGAUUGGCUAGAAAAGUGUUGAUGAGUGACUUUUAGUUACUAAAUUUUGAAUAUUUGAAAUUCAAUAUUUAAAUGUUUGAAAAAGAGGACCAUAAAGGCCGUUUUCUAAUCUUUUACUCAGAAUUGAAAUCCUGGAUUGUGCUGUAGCCCUUGAGCCCCAGGUUGCACAUUACUGAUUUAAAAACACUUGGAACGACACGAGAGGUCAAGAGGGCUGGUGAGGCCUGGGGGAGCCUGGAAGCAGCAUCAGGGUCCUCGUUGCCUUGGGACUGGGGGGACGUUACAAAGGAACAGGGAGUAUAUCCAAGAAGACAAAGACCUGAAGCUAGACCCUACCUUCUAGGAAGUCACAGACCAUGACCGUCAUGUUUACCAUCUUGUUGUAGUGACAGGGCUAGCACAGGACUAAAUAGAUACUCAGUAAAUACUUCUUGAUUUAGGACAAAUUUUAUCUACUUCACUCUUUGGCCCUGGGGUAGUGGUGCCUGAUUACAAGUCACUAGAAUGGAAGAAGUCCUCAGGAAUACUCAGUAAAUACUUCUUGAUGUAGGACAAAUUUCAUCUACUUCACUCUUUGGCCCUGGGGUAGUGGUGCCUGAUCACAAGUCACUAGAAUGGAAGAAGUCCUCAGGGUUGAGACUGUUAUAUGUCUGAUAAUCUAGAACAAUUACAACACCCAUCAAAGUUACCCAGUGGGACUAAAAGUAUUUAGGCACCAAGGAACUUAUGUACCAAAAAUAAAGAGAUUCUUCUUCCCCUGCCCAGGGUAAACCUUCAGGGUGAUAGCUGC